AUUGAACGCUGGCGGCAGGCUUAACACAUGCAAGUCGAGCGAGCGGCGGACGGGUGAGUAAUGUCUGGGAAACUGCCUGAUGGAGGGGGAUAACUACUGGAAACGGUAGCUAAUACCGCAUAACAUAGGAUGUGCCCAGAUGGGAUUAGCUAGUAGGUGGGGUAAGGGCUCACCUAGGCGACGAUCCCUAGCUGGUCUGAGAGGAUGAACAGACACACUGGAACUGAGACACGGUCCAGAAUCCUACGGGAGGCAGCAGUGGGGAAUAUUGCACAAUGGGCGCGAGCCUGAUGCAGCCAUGCCGCGUGUGUGAAGAAGGCCUUCGGGGUGUAAAGCACUUUCAGCGAGGAGGCGUUACUCGCAGAAGAAGCACCGGCUAACUCCGUGCCAGCAGCCGCGGUAAUAC
rnacentral:rRNA from 1 species